rfam:Pasteurellaceae bacterium 15-036681 NODE_18_length_43232_cov_78.2916, whole genome shotgun sequence.
GAUCGAGUGGGCGACUAAUACAAUACCUUCGGGGAAUACGUCCAGCCUGCUGUAGGCUUUCGAACCACUCGAUCACCCUAAU